CUUUCAUAGUACAUUAGCCCGCAAAACUUAAAAUAUUUACUAUUUGACCCUUUACAGAAAAAAUCUGCUGACCCCUGGUGUAGGAUGUAGAAGAGGAAUUUAAGGGAGAGCAGUCUGUUUAGAAUUUUCUUCAUACUGUCUACAGAAAACACUUUAUUCUCCCGAAUACAAAGCACUAAAGGAGCUGCCAAGAUCCCAUCCCCAUCACUGUGCUCUCUUGGUAGGGGCCGAUGGAAACAGGAAGAGCUAGAGCUGCAGCAGAGCUUUGGGAACAGUGCCCGGGGUGUGGAUUGGAGAUGCCUCAUGACUUCUGAAGCUCAGGUCCAAGCAAAGUUUCUUUGCCAGGCCAAACUCCAACUGGAAGGAUAAGCUUGGCCUCUGAACUCAGAUGAAGCGCGGAUGAAACCUAUCCAUUUUUGCUGUUUUGGUGAAGCAGAAGCUCCACAUCUUAUGUUGUUGCUGAAUCAUGCUGUUCCUGUGGAGGAGUCUCAUUCAGUCCCAUGUGUACUAUUUUAGCAGAUUUUAGGACUCCCCAUUUUUAUCUGCAGUCUUGACUUGAAAUCUAGACUCACUUAUCGAAGUGACAUCUUCAUCUGGGUGUCCAGUAGGCAUCUCUGAUUGACCAUGUUCAAGACAGACUCUUGAUUCCUCCCCACCACCCCUUCCUCCUAAAGCAUCCCCCAGUUGUGUCAAGUGGCACCAUCUAUUUCCUGAGGCCUAAACCUUGGAGUUAACCUUGACUCUUCCAUUCUCUUCACACCCUAUAUCCAGUCUAUCGGCUCUACAUGUUGUUUUGUCUCUACCUUCAAAAAUAUAUCCACCUCCACUGCUGUCACCCAGGUACAAGCCACCAUUAGCCCUCUUUUUUUUUUUUUUUUGAGGAAGAUUAGCCCUGAGCUAAUAUCUGCCACCAAUCCUCCUCUUUUUGCUGAGGAAGG